rnacentral:rRNA from 1 species
UACGUAGGGUGCGAGCGUUAAUCGGAAUUACUGGGCGUAAAGCGUGCGCAGGCGGUUUUGUAAGGCAGGUGUGAAAUCCCCGGGCUUAACCUGGGAAUGGCAUUUGGGACUGCAAGGCUUGAGUGCGGCAGAGGAGACUGGAAUUCCUGGUGUAGCAGUGAAAUGCGUAGAUAUCAGGAGGAACACCGAUGGCGAAGGCAGGUCUCUGGGCUGACACUGACGCUCAUGCACGAAAGCGUGGGGAGCAAACAGG